UAGGGCAUAUUGCAAAAUGGGCGAAAGCCCGAUGCAGCAACGCCGCGUGGGCGAUGAAGGCCUUCGGGUCGUAAAGCACUUUUUGAGGGGAUGAGGAAGGACAGUACCCUCAGAAUAAGCCUCGGCUAACUACGUGCCAGCAGCCGCGGUAAAACGUAGGCGGCGAGCGUUAUCCGGAUUUACCGGGCGUAAAGCGCGUGCAGGCGGAUUGGAGAGUUGGAUGUGAAAGCUCCCGGCUUAACUGGGAGAGGUCGUUCAAUACUUCCAGUCUUGAGUGCAGUAUAGGGGAGGGGAAUUCCGGGUGUAGUGGUGAAAUGCGUAGAUAUCCGGAGGAACACCAGUGGCGAAAGCGGCUUCCUGGACUGUAACUGACGCUCAGACGCGAAAGCUAGGGUAGCAAACG
rnacentral:rRNA from 1 species